GCAUAUCAAUAAGCGGAGGAAAAGAAACUAACAAGGAUUCCCCUAGUAACUGCGAAGUGAAGCGGGAAAAAGCUCAAAUUUAAAAUCUGGUGGUCUCUGGCUGUCCCGAGUUGUAAUCUGGAGAAGUGUUUUCCGCGCUGGACCGUGUAUAAGUCUCCUGGAAUGGAGCGUCAUAGAGGGUGAGAAUCCCGUCUUUGACACGGACUACCAGGGCUUUGUGAUGCGCUCUCAAAGAGUCGAGUUGUUUGGGAAUGCAGCUCUAAAUGGGUGGUGAAUUCCAUCUAAAGCUAAAUAUUGGCGAGAGACCGAUAGCGAACAAGUACCGUGAGGGAAAGAUGAAAAGAACUUUGGAAAGAGAGUUAAACAGUACGUGAAAUUGUUGAAAGGGAAACGCUUGAAGUCAGUCGCGUUGGUUAGGAAUCAGCCUUGCUUUUGCUUGGUGUACUUCCUGGUUGACGGGUCAGCAUCAAUUUUGACCGGUGGAAAAAGGCCAGAGGAAUGUGGCAUCUUCGGAUGUGUUAUAGCUUCUGGUUGUAUACAUCGGUUGGGAUUGAGGAACUCAGCGCGCCGCAAGGUAGGGGUUCGCCCACUUUCGUGCUUAGGAUGCUGGCAUAAUGGCUUUAAUCGACCCGUCUUGAAACACGGACCAAGGAGUCUAACAUGCCUGCGAGUGUUUGGGUGGAAAACCCGAGCGCGCAAUGAAAGUGAAAGUUGAGAUCUCUGUCGUGGAGGAGCAUCGACGCCCGGACCAGACGUUCUGUGACGGAUCCGCGGUAGAGCAUGUAUGUUGGGACCCGAAAGAUGGUGAACUAUGCCUGAAUAGGGUGAAGCCAGAGGAAACUCUGGUGGAGGCUCGUAGCGAUUUCUGACGUGCAAAUCGAUCGUCAAAUUUGGGUAAUAGGGGCGAAAAGACUAAUCGAACCAUCUAGUAGCUGGUUUCCUGCCCGAAGU
rnacentral:rRNA from 1 species